rnacentral:rRNA from 1 species
UACGUAGGGUGCAAGCGUUAAUCGGAAUUACUGGGCGUAAAGCGUGCGCAGGCGGCUUUGCAAGACAGAUGUGAAAUCCCCGGGCUUAACCUGGGAACUGCAUUUGUGACUGCAUGGCUGGAGUGCGGCAGAGGGGGAUGGAAUUCCGCGUGUAGCAGUGAAAUGCGUAGAGAUGUGGAGGAACACCGAUGGCGAAGGCAGCCUUCUGGGCCAACACUGACGCUCAUGCACGAAAGCGUGGGGAGCAAACAGG